UACGUAGGGGGCUAGCGUUGUCCGGAAUCAUUGGGCGUAAAGCGCGUGUAGGCGGUCCGGUAAGUCCGCUGUGAAAGUCGGGGGGCUCAACCCUCGGAUGCCGGUGGAUACUGUCGGGCUUGAGUACGGAAGAGGCGAGUGGAAUUCCUGGUGUAGCGGUGAAAUGCGCAGAUAGUCAGGAGGAACACCAAUGCGAAGGCAGCUCGCUGGGACGUUACUGACGCUGAGACGCGAAAGCGUGGGGAGCAAACGG
rnacentral:rRNA from 1 species